UUAGGAAACAGUACAGGAAAUUGAGGAGUCUGAGGGAGCAAGAGUAAGGCUAAGGAGAUGCAGGAAUAUGUGGAGACUGAGGGAGUGCAGAGGAGUUUAGAGAGCAGGCAGCAGAUUGAGAGUGGGUUCAAGGCAGUGGGGAGGCAGGAGGCAGAUUGUGGGGGACCCAGCAGAGGCAGCAUGGGGUCAGACUAAGAAGUGCAGAGGUAUGUGGGGACAGGAGGAGCCUGAAGUGGGUGCAGCAGAAAGUGGCAUGGUGGAGAAGGAGAAUAU